CGGUUUCCGUAGUGAACCUGCGGAGGAUCAUUAUUGAAUAAACAUGGUUGGGUUGUAGCUGACUCCUUGGAGUAUGUGCACACCUGCCGUCUUUAUCUAUCCACCUGUGCACACAUUGUAGUCUUGGGGGAUUGAUUAGUGACAAAUUUUGUUGCAAUGUCGUCCUCCGAGGUCUAUGUUAUCAUAAACCACUUAGUAUGUCGUAGAAUGAAGUAUUUGGGCCUUAGUGCCUAUAAAACAAAAUACAACUUUCAGCAACGGAUCUCUUGGCUCUCGCAUCGAUGAAGAACGCAGCGAAAUGCGAUAAGUAAUGUGAAUUGCAGAAUUCACGUGAAUCAUCGAAUCUUUGAACGCACCUUGCGCUCCUUGGUAUUCCGAGGAGCAUGCCUGUUUGAGUGUCAUUAAAUUCUCAACCCCUCCAGCUUUUGUGGCUGGUCGUGGCUUGGAUAUGGGAGUUUUGCUGGUCUCAUUUCGAGAUCAGCUCUCCUGAAAUGCAUUAGUGGAACCGUUUGCGAUCCGUCACCGGUGUGAUAAUUAUCUACGCCAUAGACUGUGAACGCUCUCUGUAUUGUUCUGCUUCUAACUGUCCUGUAAAAGGACAACGAUAUUGAACUUU
rnacentral:rRNA from 1 species